rnacentral:rRNA from 1 species
UACGUAGGGGGCAAGCGUUGUCCGGAUUUAUUGGGCGUAAAGAGCGUGUAGGCGGCCAGGUAGGUCCGCUGUGAAAACUCGAGGCUCAACUCCGGAGGGUCGGUGGAUACUGCCAGUCUUGAAGGUGCUAGGGGGAGAUGGAAUUACCGGUGUAGCGGUGAAAUGCGUAGAUAUCGGUAGGAACACCAGUGGCGAAGGCGGUCUCCUGGGGCAUUCUUGACGCUGAGGCGCGAAAGCUGGGGGGAGCAAACGGG